AUUGAACGCUGGCGGCAUGCUUUACACAUGCAAGUCGAACGGUAACAGGCCUUCGGGUGCUGACGAGUGGCGAACGGGUGAGUAAUGCAUCGGAACGUACCCAGAGGUGGGGGAUAACGCAGCGAAAGCUGUGCUAAUACCGCAUGUGAUCUGAGGAUGAAAGCGGGGGACCUAGCAGCAAUGUUUGGCCUCGCGCCUUUUGAGCGGCCGAUGUCGGAUUAGCUAGUUGGUGGGGUAAAGGCCUACCAAGGCGACGAUCCGUAGCUGGUCUGAGAGGACGACCAGCCAAACUGGGACUGAGACACGGCCCAGACUCCUACGGGAGGCAGCAGUGGGGAAUUUUGGACAAUGGGCGCAAGCCUGAUCCAGCAAUGCCGCGUGAGGGAAGAAGGCCUUCGGGUUGUAAACCGCUUUUGGCAGGAACGAAACGGUGUCCGCUAAUACCGGGCGCUAAUGACGGUACCUGCAGAAUAAGCACAGGCUAACUACGUG
rnacentral:rRNA from 1 species